UACGGAGGGUGCAAGCGUUAUCCGGAUUCACUGGGUUUAAAGGGUGCGUAGGCGGGUUGGUAAGUCCGUGGUGAAAUCUCCGAGCUUAACUCGGAAACUGCCGUGGAUACUAUCAAUCUUGAAUAUCGUGGAGGUAAGCGGAAUAUGUCAUGUAGCGGUGAAAUGCUUAGAGAUGACAUAGAGCACCAAUUGCGUAGGCAGCUUACUACACGAUCAUUGACGCUGAGGCACGAAAGCGUGGGGAGCAAACAGG
rnacentral:rRNA from 1 species